rnacentral:rRNA from 1 species
CUGAUCUCGGAAGGUAAGCAGGGUCGGGCCUGGUUAGUAGUUGGAUGGGAGACCUCCUGGGAAUACUGAAGAUGCUGUAG